UGAGGAAUCUGUCCAUCGGCGGGGGAUAGCCGGCCCAACGGCCGGGUAAUACCGCGUACGACCACAUGGGGACAUCCCUGAGUGGUGAAAGCAGCAAUGCGCCGAUGGAGUGCCUCGCGGCCUAUCAGCUAGUUGGUGAGGUAACGGCUCACCAAGGCAACGACGGGUAGCUGGUCUGAGAGGACGACCAGCCACACUGGAACUGAGAUACGGUCCAGACCUCGUACGGGAG
rnacentral:rRNA from 1 species